rnacentral:rRNA from 1 species
GGGUGAGUAACACGUGGAUAACCUAUCUAUAAUACUGGGAUAACUUCGGGAAACCGGAGCUAAUACCGGAUAAUAUUUUGAACCGCAUGGUUCAAAAGUGAAAGACGGUCUUGCUGUCACUUAUAGAUGGAUCCGCGCUGCAUUAGCUAGUUGGUAAGGUAACGGCUUACCAAGGCAACGAUGCAUAGCCGACCUGAGAGGGUGAUCGGCCACACUGGAACUGAGACACGGUCCAG